rnacentral:piRNA from 1 species
UAGGAAUCACAUUGGUAGUGAACAAGGCCU